rnacentral:rRNA from 1 species
GAGGAAUAUUGGACAAUGGGCGGGAGCCUGAUCCAGCCAUGCCGCGUGCAGGAAGACGGUCCUAUGGAUUGUAAACUGCUUUUAUACGGGAAGAACAAAGGGCACGUGUGCCCCUCUGACGGUACCGUAAGAA